UACGGAGGGUGCGAGCGUGUCCGGAAUCACUGGGCGUAAAGGGCGCGUAGGCGGCCUGGCAAGUCGAUGGUGAAAGCCCGAGGCUCAACUUCGGGUCGGCCACUGAUACUGCUGGGCUUGAGUCGACUAGAGGCAGAUGGAAUUCCGGGUGUAGCGGUGGAAUGCGUAGAGAUCCGGAAGAACACCGGUGGCGAAGGCGGUCUGCUGGGGUCGAAACUGGACGCUGAGGCGCGACAGC
rnacentral:rRNA from 1 species